UUACGGCCACAUCAGGUUUGAAACACCGGUUCCCGUACGAUCACCGAAAUUAACCGACCUCGAGCCCGGUCAGUUCCUAGAUGGGUUAUCGCUUGGAAAUAUCAAGUACUGUAAG